UAGUGCAAUAGAUCACAUAUUCAGAUGAUGU
rnacentral:piRNA from 1 species